rnacentral:lncRNA from 1 species
CCCCGUUUUAACUCCGAUUUACGUGAUCUUUACGUCUAUGAAAUCAUAGCGACGCGUAGAAUCAUUUUAUGAACUUUUCAUAUUGUUUAUAUAUGAUUGGUGUACUGUUCUUAUUGUAGCCUUGUUUGCUUUGUGUAUGAUGUCUCCGAUUGUUUGUGUGUUGGUGAUCGAUGAUCGAGUUUAGUCGGAGAGCAGUUUUUGGUGAUCAAGAUCAGAGCUCGGACAACUAGUAAGAUCAGCAAUAUCAGCAAGAGCAAUUGGAUUAAGGCAAGUAUAGCAUUUGGGUUUUAAUUCUAUGACCAUGAUCAUGUGACUAGAUUAAUGUUAAGUAAUAAAUGAUAAAAAUGACUUUUUAGCCACUUGAUGAUUUAUCUGUAAGUGAUAACCGGGACAACAGUGC